rnacentral:misc_RNA from 1 species
AACCUAGCACACCUGCGGUGUGUACCUGCGGAGGGAUCAUUACUGAGUGAGGGCCUUCGGGCUCGACCUCCAACCCUUUGUGAACCAAACUUGUUGCUUCGGGGGCGACCCUGCCGGCAUUCGUCAGCGGGCGCCCCCGGAGGCCAUCAAACACUGCAUCUAUGCGUCGGAGUUUAAAUUCAAUUAAACAAAACUUUUAACAACGGAUCU